CUAGAUUUCCAGGCUCAGAUCUUAAAAUCAAAAUUUCUUAAAGAGAGGAUCAAAAACUCUCUGUUUCCCUUUCAUUUAAACCCAAAUUCAAUUUCUUCUCAUUUUUGUUCUUAAUUUUAAAUGCUGGAUCAGAUCUGAGAGUAUUGAACGUUGGAGAUAAAGAUAAAAAAUGUUGACAAAGUUCGAGACGAAGAGCAAUAGAGUGAAGGGACUAAGUUUCCACACUAAGAGGCCAUGGAUCUUAGCUAGUCUCCACAGCGGCGUUAUCCAGUUAUGGGACUAUCGAAUGGGGACUUUGAUUGAUCGAUUUGACGAACACGAUGGCCCUGUUCGUGGCGUUCAUUUUCACAUGUCUCAGCCUUUGUUUGUCUCUGGAGGGGAUGACUACAAGAUAAAGGUCUGGAACUACAAGUUGCAUAGAUGUCUUUUUACCCUUCUUGGACAUCUUGAUUAUAUUCGUACUGUGCAAUUUCAUCAUGAACAUCCAUGGAUUGUGAGUGCCAGUGAUGAUCAAACCAUUCGCAUAUGGAACUGGCAGUCUCGAACUUGCAUCUCUGUGUUGACUGGUCAUAAUCAUUAUGUUAUGUGCGCCUCAUUCCAUCCUAAAGAAGACCUGGUUGUGUCAGCCUCCCUUGAUCAGACUGUUCGAGUUUGGGAUAUUGGUUCCUUGAAAAAAAAGGGUGCCUCCCCAGCAGAUGACAUUUUACGGUUGAGUCAGAUGAACACAGAUCUUUUUGGUGGUGUUGAUGCAGUUGUCAAGUAUGUGUUGGAAGGACAUGACCGAGGAGUAAAUUGGGCUGCAUUUCAUCCAACCUUGCCUUUGAUAGUCUCUGGUGCCGAUGACCGCCAAGUGAAAUUGUGGCGUAUGAAUGAUACCAAGGCUUGGGAAGUGGAUACCUUGAGAGGACACAUGAAUAAUGUGUCAUGUGUCAUGUUCCAUGCCAAACAAGACAUCAUUGUAUCCAAUUCCGAGGAUAAAAGUAUUCGAGUGUGGGAUGCAACAAAGCGAACUGGACUUCAAACUUUCCGUCGAGAACAUGACAGGUUCUGGAUUCUUGCAGCCCAUCCUGAGAUUAAUCUUUUGGCAGCUGGACAUGACAGUGGCAUGAUUGUAUUUAAGCUAGAGAGAGAACGGCCUGCUUUUGCAGUUAGUGGGGAUUCUCUGUUUUAUGCCAAGGAUCGAUUCUUAAGGUAUUAUGACUUUUCAACACAAAAAGAGACACAAAUAGUUCCUAUCCGGCGGCCCGGUUCCACAACCUUGAAUCAAUGUCCAAGGACUCUUUCUUAUAGUCCCACAGAAAAUGCCGUCCUUAUCUGCUCAGAUGUUGAUGGAGGAACUUAUGAGUUGUAUCAGAUACCAAAAGACAGCAUUGGUAGGAGUGACUUGCAGGAGGCAAAGAGAGGUCCUGGUAGUUCUGCCAUAUUUGUGGCUCGGAACCGUUUUGCUGUACUCGACAAAAGCAACAACCAAGUCUUAAUCAAGAAUCUUAAAAAUGAGGUUGUUAAAAAAAGCGGUCUUCCAGUGCCUACAGAUGCAAUUUUCUAUGCUGGAACAGGUAAUUUAUUGUGUAGAUCAGACGAUAGAGUGGUUGUAUUUGAUCUCCAGCAGAGACUUGUUCUUGGUGAUCUACAAACGCCUUUUGUGAAGUAUGUUGUUUGGUCUAGUGACAUGGAGAGUGUUGCUUUGCUCAGCAAGCAUUCCAUUAUCAUUACUAGCAAGAAACUUGUGCACCAGUGCACUUUUCAUGAGACAAUACGAGUUAAGAGUGGAGCCUGGGAUGAAAAUGGUGUUUUUAUUUACACCACUCUAAACCAUAUAAAAUACUGCCUACCCAAUGGAGAUAGUGGAAUAAUUGAACUCUUGAUGUUCCAAUAUACCUAACUAAGGUUUCUGGAAACAAAAUAUUUUGCCUGGACCGUGAUGGGAAGAACAAGACGCUGGUCAUUGAUGCUACAGAAUACAUUUUUAAGCUGUCUCUGCUUCGGAAGAGGUAUGAUCAUGUUAUGAGCAUGAUAAGAAACUCCCAGCUUUGUGGUGAGGCCGUGAUUGCUUAUCUACAACAGAAGGGGUUCCCUGAAGUGGCUCUCCAUUUUGUCAAAGAUGAGAAAACUCGGUUUAACUUGGCUAUAGAGAGUGGGAACAUUCAAAUUGCUGUUGCAUCAGCUAAGGAGAUUGAUGACAAGGAUCAUUGGUAUAGGUUGGGUGUGGAAGCCCUUCGCCAAGGCAAUGCAGGUAUAGUUGAAUAUGCCUACCAGAGGACAAAGAACUUUGAGAGGUUGUCGUUUCUUUAUCUCAUAAAUGGUAACCUGGAAAAGCUGUCCAAGAUGCUGAAGAUUGCAGAAGUCAAGAACGACGUUAUGGGCCAGUUUCACAAUGCUUUGUAUCUUGGCGAUAUCCAAGAACGUGUAAAGAUCUUGGAGAAUGCUGGUCAUUUGCCUCUUGCUUAUGUUACAGCAUCAGUCCAUGGUCUACAUGAUGUUGCGGAAAGGUUAGCUGCUGAGUUGGGAGAUGAUGUCCCUUCUUUGCCGGAAGGGAAAAAACCUUCCUUAUUGAUGCCUCCGGCACCCGUUAUUUGUGGUGGUGAUUGGCCCCUGUUGAGAGUAAUGAAAGGUAUAUUUGAAGGUGGAUUCGAUAGUACUGGCAGGGGUGUGGUGGAUGAAGAGGAGGAGGGUGCAGAUGGUGAUUGGGGUGAAGAUCUUGAUAUGGUUGAUGCUGAUGGCUUGCAGAACGGAGAUGUUACUGCAAUUUUGGAGGAUGGGGAAGUGGCUGAAGACAAUGAAGAGGGUGGAUGGGACCUUGAAGACUUGGAACUCCCUCCUGAGGUAGAGACACCAAGGGUUAAUGCUCGUUCUUCUGUUUUCGUGGCACCAACUCCUGGCAUGCCUGUGAGUCAAAUUUGGACUCAGAGAUCGUCACUUGCUGCUGAUCAUGCGGCCGCUGGCAAUUUUGAUACAGCCAUGCGUUUGCUAAGCAGGCAACUUGGAAUAAGAAACUUUACUCCUUUAAAAUCCAUGUUUCUUGAUCUUCACACUGGCAGCCAUAGCUAUCUUCGUGCAUUUUCAUCUGCGCCAGUGGUGUCCUUGGCAGUUGAGAGGGGAUGGAGUGAGUCUUCUAGUCCUAAUGUGAGGGGUCCACCUGCUCUCAUAUUCAACUUUUCUCAGCUGGACGAAAAGCUGAAGGCUGGGUACAAGGCCACAACAGAUGGAAAAUUUACCGAGGCUCUUCGGCUUUUUCUCAACAUUCUUCAUACAAUUCCAUUGAUUGUUGUGGAGUCAAGGAGGGAAGUUGAUGAAGUCAAAGAGUUAAUUAUCAUCGCCAAGGAGUAUGUUCUUGGUCUGCAGAUGGAGCUUAAGCGUAGAGAAUUGAAAGACAAUCCGGUACGCCAGCAGGAGCUUGCUGCCUACUUCACCCAUUGCAACCUUCAAAUACCUCAUCUCAGACUUGCUCUGCGAAAUGCAAUGACCAUCUGUUUCAAGGCGAAAAACCUGGCUACAGCCGCUGACUUUGCCAGGCGUCUUCUAGAAACAAACCCUAACGAGAACCAUUCAAAGGCAGCGAGGCAAGUACUCCAGGCUUCAGAGAGGAAUAUGACAGAUGCAUCUCAGUUAAACUACGAUUUCAGGAACCCUUUUGUGACAUGCGGGGCAACUUACGUCCCAAUUUACCGAGGACAGAAAGAUGUAUCUUGCCCUUACUGUACUACUCGCUUUGUGCCUACCCAGGAAGGUCAAUUGUGUACAAUCUGUGAUCUCGCUGUCAUUGGAGCAGACGCAUCAGGUUUGCUCUGUUCUCCUUCUCAAAUUCGAUGAUUAAGCUCUGCAUACUCGAGGCAUGUUUCCUUCAAUCUUGCUCAACCUUUGAGCAGCCAGCCGAACCAAUCACAUCGAUCGAAUUCUUAUCCACAGGUAAAAAGGUAUGUGCUUGAUGAAAUCUCUGAUCUCAAGUUCAUUACUUUUCACCAUUUACUUUUAUUUGCCUUUUGUUUUCAUUAUAAUAUUCACAUGUAUUUUAAACAAGUUGGGAAUUUUGGAUUUUUGGCUAUUCUUUUUUCUUUCAUGGGCUGAAAAUAGUCAUAGGGCCCUGUUUAAAAUAGAUAAUAAUGGUCAUAUCUCAUAUGUAGGACAAUUACAUGACAUUGUGUGUCAAAUUUGCUUACUUCCCUUUGGUACCUCUUUUUUUUCUAGUUUCCA